GACAGAGGUGCCGAGCGUUAGGCGGAAUCACUGGGCUUAAAGCGUGUGUAGGUGGAUGCCUAAGUACCUUGUGAAAUCCCACGGCUUAACCGUGGAACUGCUUGGUAUACUGGGUGUCUUGAGCCAGCUAGGGGCUACCGGAACAAAUGGUGGAGCGGUGAAAUGCGUAGAUAUCAUUUGGAACGCCAAUGGUGAAAACAGGUAGCUGGGGCUGUGCUGACACUGAGACACGAAGGCCAGGGGAGCGAACGGG
rnacentral:rRNA from 1 species